rnacentral:rRNA from 1 species
AUUGAACGCUGGCGGCAGGCUUAACACAUGCAAGUCGAGCGGUAACAGGAGAAGCUUGCUUCUCGCUGACGAGCGGCGGACGGGUGAGUAAUACUUAGGAAUCUACCUAGUAGUGGGGGAUAGCUCGGGGAAACUCGAAUUAAUACCGCAUACGACCUACGGGAGAAAGGGGGCAACUUGUUGCUCUCGCUAUUAGAUGAGCCUAAGUCGGAUUAGCUAGUUGGUGGGGUAAAGGCCUACCAAGGCGACGAUCUGUAGCUGGUCUGAGAGGAUGAUCAGCCACACCGGGACUGAGACACGGCCCGGACUCCUACGGGAGGCAGCAGUGGGGAAUAUUGGACAAUGGGGGCAACCCUGAUCCAGCCAUGCCGCGUGUGUGAAGAAGGCCUUUUGGUUGUAAAGCACUUUAAGCAGUGAAGAAGACUCCAUGGUUAAUACCCAUGGACGAUGACAUUAGCUGCAGAAUAAGCACCGGCUAACUCUGUGCC